GAAGUCCGCCUCCCGGGACCCGCCGCCGGUCCCAGGACAAAUACCGUGACUCUAUUUCCCAUGAGCCUACGCGCUCCCCAAAUUUAGGAGCCAUUUGAAAUGUCUCUAUCUGGUCUAGCGGUUAAGAGGCUCUAUGCUAAGAGAAUUGGCAACGCCGAACCCCAGACUCAAAUUUCUCCUUAGUUUAAGGGAACGUCUUCAUGGGGAUGUCUUGACUAUCUUUAAGGGAACGUCUAGAAAGUCUCUGCUUCCUGUAGCAUCUCGUAGACCAUGCCUGGGCCAGUCCUGCCUUACCGGAGAGCUCAAGGCUUAAAAUCAAUGUCCAUGUGCAACCGUGACAAAUGGAACAAGAGGGUGCAUCAUGCUAGCUUAUGAUCACAAUGACACAUUUAACGAAAACUUCAGUAAAUAGAGCCCAUGGAUGAAAUAAUAGAGGAUUAGCCUGGGACAGGAUACCAUCCUCGCCCCAACAAGGAGAAAAAGAAUUCCAGCUUUUCCAAAUCACUUUGAAUUAGUGAUAGCUAGAAAACUCAGAGAAUAUGUACAGAAUUGAAAGAAGAAAAAAAUUAGCCAGAACUCUACUUCCUGAAGAGGAUGAGGCAAGCAGAAGAAGAAAUUUGCGUCUUAAUGGAAAACGAAGCACAUUUAGAAAGCCAUGUUACUUGAUUCCAACCCUGUUCCUUAUCUUUGAGGUUUUCCAGGUCUUUGCAGAAGUCCCUGAUGGAAUCACAUGACUGAGCCAGGAAAACCUCAGGACUGGAGUGCCUCAUGAACUGUUGAAGCCCAGGCAAAGUCUCACUCUGCCGCCC
rnacentral:lncRNA from 1 species